AACCUAAAAAAGUCAAGAACCGCAUCACAUCUAGAACACCUAAGAACACGCGGAGAGACGGAGCCCCCCAACCCGACCAAGAUACACGCGUCUCCGGCAGAAACAAGUACAGAUCGGACGGAAUCAGCAACCAGCAACACGUACAGAAUGGCAGGACGCGACGCGAGGACAGAUCGAGAGAGAGAGAGAGAGGGGGGGGGAAGAGAGGAGGAGGGGGGGGGGGUUACGUAUCGACCGUACGGCGCAUGUAGGGGAGCUUGCGGAGGGCGUUGGAGUACAUCUGGGUGCCGAGGCCCAGGAGGGCGCCGAUGAUCGUCGGCGUCGCCGGCAUCUUCGGCCGCCGCGCUCUCGAUUUCUCCUCUUUCUCGAGGCGGCGUGGGGGGAAGGAGAGGGGAGACGAAGACGAGAUGGGUGGGAGGAGUGGACGGCGAGGUCUCGGAGAGGCUCUUGGGAGUGGUGGUUUGCUGCCACUGUGGUGUGGGGCCCACGAGUCAGCGGAG
rnacentral:sRNA from 1 species